UGAUGCAUGGAUCGAACCACAUAUCAUGUCCCGGUGAAUCAAAAGCUAGCUCUUACAAUUAUUACGGACAUGGUCACAUGCAUGCCCCAAAACACACACAGACGAAAAGUCAGCCAUGUGAAAGGAACCAACCUACUUUUUGGAAAAAGAAAAAAAAAAGACAGAACACAACAAUAUAAGGUUCAAACUCAACACCUACCCUCCAAUUCCAUUGUCUAUCUAUAAAAGUUCAGUUCAAUCCCAACUUGGACUGCAAGAUCAGGUUUCCUCAGCUUCACCAUAUCUCAGCUCGUGUCCUCCACGCUCCAACCUUUUUUCUAUUUUUGGUAGUAGAAUACAAUUUAAGAAAAAAAAAAAAAAAAGAAGACAAUCUCUACUUCUUUUGGAAGUUUCGAAUUACAAUAGUUGUAUAAGUUUACACGUAAAGAAACGAAUCGUUCGUAGUAUUAAGUUUUGUUGAAUUUGAUUGAUUCUCUUCUUCUAGAACCUUUUCAUCUUUCGGUGAACUAAAUUGUAGCAUUUCCAUGUCACCGUUAAAUACGAGAAAAC
rnacentral:lncRNA from 1 species